AGCUCCAAUAGCGUACACUAAUAUUGUUGCAGUUAAAAAGCUCGUAGUUGGAUUUCUGAGAGCGCGGGACGGUCUACCCCAUUGUGGGUGGUACCCGACAGGCACUCUCAUCCGGCAGAACACCUGCUCUGCAAUUAACUUUGUGGAGCAGGCACGUCUGCCCAUUUACUUUGAGAAAAACAGAGUGUUCAAAGCAAGCGUACUGCGUUUGUAUGAGUUAGCAUGGGAUAAUGCAAGAGGACUUUGGCCCUCUUUUGUUGGUUGUUCGAGAGCCGAAGUAAUGAUUGAUAGAGAUGGUUGGGGGUCUCGGUAUUCUCGAGCGAGAGGUGAAAUUCAUGGACCUCGGGAAGACCAACUGCUGCGAAGGCGUUGACCAAGGACAUACUCUUUAAUCAAGAAC
rnacentral:rRNA from 1 species